rnacentral:rRNA from 1 species
CCAGUGACACACGUUUAACGGCCGCGGUAUCCUGACCGUGCAAAGGUAGCAUAAUCACUUGUUCCUUAAAUAGGGACUCGCAUGAAAGGCACCACGAGGGUUUAACUGUCUCUUACUUUUAACCAGUGAAAUUGACCUGUCCGUGAAGAGGCGGACAUAAAAUAAUAAGACGAGAAGACCCUAUGGAGCUUUAAUCUAUUAAUGCAACCAAAAAUCACACAAACCCACGGACUCUUAAACUACCGACACCUGCAUUAAAGAUUUCGGUUGGGGCGACCUCGGAGUAUAACAAAACCUCCGAACAACACAUGCUAAGACUACACAAGUCAAAGCGAACUAACACUCACAAUUGAUCCAAUAGUUUGAUCAACGGAACAAGUUACCCUAGGGAUAACAGCGCAAUUCUAUUCUAGAGUCCAUAUCGACAAUAGAGCUUACGACCUCGAUGUUGGAUCAGGACAUCCUAAUGGUGCAGCAGCUAUCAAGGGUUCGUUUGUUCAACGAUUAAAGUCCUACGUGAUCUGAGUUCAAACCGGAGAAGAAGA